GUGACUUGUGCUGAGGUGGGACCUGUCAGCACGGGGUGAGUCCUGAGCUGGGGAGCAGGGAGGGCACUGCAGCCGUGGCUUAAAUUCAAGGUGAGCUAAGGGGCUGUGACACUGGCGCCAGAGGCAACUACCAGAUAGCAUAGAGGAAUGUUCGACUUUACAAACUAAUGCCCAUCUGUGUUUGCAAGUGGUCGUGCCGCCUUACAUGCCCAUCAGCAGUGGACGAGGAACCCGAUGGAUUUCUUGUCCUAUCUUACACAUGGUAUUUGCAAGCUUCUUAGUGACCACUUUCUGACUCUUGGUAGCUUCUCUCUCUCUCCUUUCUUUCUUUCUUUCUAUAAUAAACGUGUGUCUGUGUAGGGGUUUUCUUUGUCUUGUUUUUUGCCUAUAUUUCUUUUAAAUUCAGAAGCAGAAAUAAAUCUUUUAUUUUUGUCAAGGAGUAGUUUAUCUGUGGAGAGUGUCAGCUGCGACAGGGGGCUUGGGUUAAAGACUAAGAAAAGGCACACGGUGAGGCCCCAGGCUGUUGGUGACUCCAGGGGGAGUCGCUGGGUUGGGGGUGAGCUGAUCAAAGCUCAGAGGGAUGAGGGGUGGAGACGACAGAUUGACUGGAACCAAGCGAGAGGUUUGAUACCAAAAGGAAGGAGAGGAUUGCAAGGUCAAGUGGGGAGGAUUCCCAGAAAGGGAGCAUUGAGUUUAUAGCCAAAUGAGAAGGAGCCAGGGAGAAGGUGAUGGAGACGUGGCAGCGAGGGGCUGGCUCAGCGUUGAGAGCAACGUGGGCAUCACUGUUCUCUCUUCUUAUGCAAAGGCACUGACUUUGGAGCCAGACAGAUGUGGGUUCAGAUCCCAGGGCUGCCACUAAUGAGGUGUAAGAGAGGGUGACAACAUGCCCCGCAGAGUGGCUGUGAGGGCCAAGGAGCACCUAGACCAGUGGGUACUCAACCCUCGGUGCUUCUUUCCCUCCCUUCCUCCCCCAGUCUGUGGGCCGAGGCCCAGUCUAGGUUCAGAAGCCGGGAGGUUUCGUGCCAGUGACACUUUGCUGAGUGGGGUGCGGGGCCGGGAAUUCCAUGAGUCUGAGGGAGGGAGGAAGGGGCCCAGAUGGGGAGACUCAAAGGGGCUCCUGAGAAUCAGGGAGGGCUGAGGGUGCCAGUGGCAGAGGCCGAGGAGCUGCAGGUGUGGCAGGGAAAUUGCCGUUGAUUAGGGGCUUGGAGCUAGGCCUCACUGGCUGGGCAUAGCCAAGAGAGUAGAUAUGGAGUCCUGACGGAAAAGGGCUCUGUCCUGCCUGGCCCAAGAGGAGCAGCUCCACGCUCAGCCUCUAGCCUGCCAGCCCCAGCCUCUAGCCAGCCUGCGUGGCCCCUGCCCGGUUGGUUUCUGCCUCCUUCAUCCCCAUCCCAGUGUCCUGGGGUCCACCCACCGAGUCUCCCCAGCCAGAAGCCUGGCAGUUAGCCUUGUCUGGGCCCUCUCAUCAGCCGUCGAGUCUGUGGACUCCACCUCUCUCUCUGCUUUUUCCCCCCAGGGCUGGGGGCCCUUCCUGGGGCACCAGGCAGCUCUCAUCCGGUGGGAUUCUCAUCAGCAGACCACACAGGAGGGUGGGCCUUCCCGUGCUCUUUCCCUCUGGCUGCCACACUGGAUUCAGCUCUGGGGAAGCUCUCAGUCCUACUUCCUGAGGUGGACUGAGUUCUGUAAAUUGGCUUCUCCCGCUGCUGGGGAGAGGUAGGGAGGACAAAAUUUUGUUCUCCUUGAAUGCCUUUGAGCACAUUCUUCAACUCAGUUUUACAAGCUGUGGAAGCGAGGGAAAGAGGGGGCUGAUGUGGGCCACAGUGAGCAGCUGGGAGGUGACCCUCCCGGAGAGAGAACAGAAAGUCGCUGGGAACUGCACUUCCCCAGAGUCGCCCCCUGACGCUGCCGUCCGUGUCUGCUCAGCCCCUACCAGCCAGCAGUGGGCGCUGUUGCUGUGCACUGGGCACCCCAAGCCCCAGGGCCCCUUGGCAGAAGGCAGUGGGGCUGCUCGGCCAGAGGUCACCACCGCUGUCCACAGCUCGACCGAGCCCGGCUGGGACAUGCCUCCGGCUCAUCGUCACUCUGCCUCCCCAUUUCUCUGAUCUGCUGAAAGACGUGUUCAAGGUUGUUGACCUCAUGAAUUGGAAAACCAGAAGCGGGGGGAAACCCUCUGGGCCCCAGGCAAGAGGCUCCAGAACACAGGGCAUGCAGCUCCACAUCCUGAGGCUCAGUCUUUGCCUAAGGAUGGACACGGCUGCACCUGAGGGCCACCGACAGGACCCUGCUAAGGCUGCCAGUUGCCGCUACCCCUCCGACUCCAGCCCCUGAGACCUCCUCUAGACACUGUUACUCCUCUGCAUUCGAGGCCAUGCCUGCUGCCACCGGCCACUGCAGACCCUGUCGCUGCAGGUCCCGGUCAAAUUUGCGGGCACUGCUGGGCCGCUGAACGUGGCCGCACCUCUAAGUCUUGGGCUGCAACCGAAGUGACUGCAUUUCCUGUGCCUCUGAGCUCCUAGCAGCUGAGGCGACAGCCAGAUGCGCCAGGGCUGCUGAUCCCCAUCCCGCAGGGACGUGGACACACUGCCAGGAGCAAACUGGAGCUGUGGCUGCUGCAGGUGGAUAUCCCUGUGCUUACAAAAAAUGGACUUUUUCCAAGGCUGCCAGGGGCUGCUGGCGCCCUGACCAAGGCUGCUGAUGGGCCCCCAUCCUUCUCAACGUGACGUAUCGAUGUCGAUGUUGACCUUGAUCUCCUGACUGAGGUCGUGUUUGCUAGGAGAAAUCACAACAUCUCUAUUUGUUUGCUGAUGGGAAUAAUCCAGUGCAUCAUCGUGAGACAGGUCACUGGCUGAGACUGAGGCGGGAAGAAGGUGUUUGGCGGUUGAGAAGAGAGCAGAAUGGAUGAAAUAGCCGCUUAAAAGCAGACAUAUUUUGAUCAGACUGUUGAGCCAGACAACUCCACCGGCACUUAACAUUCCAGUCCAGAGGCAGCCAGCGCACACUUGCAGAAGAUUCCACGCCUUUAGACUCUGGCAAGAAGCGAGAGCAUGGUGUUUUCGAGGUUCAUCCACAUUGUGCCCCCCGGUACAUAGUUGUAUAUUCUUCGUUGUGAGUCCUUCUAGUUGUGGCAUGUGGGACGCCGCCUCAGCGUGGUUUGAUGAGCAGUGCCAUGUCCGCGCCCAGGAUUCGAACCAACGAAACACUGGGCCGCCUGCAGCGGAGCGCGCGAACUCAACCACUCGGCCACGGGGCCAGCCCCUUACUUUCGCAUCUUUAACAUAAAAGAAAAUAUCAGCCAACCUUUAUGUUGAAUUUGUCAAUUGCAGCCAUAGGUUAGCUAGGAUAUAAGAGUUUGGCAAAAACCAACAGAAGCAUUCUGUGAGAAUCAAUUGGCUCUAUGGAAUUUACAAUAAAGAUUAAUGCAUAUUUU
rnacentral:lncRNA from 1 species